rnacentral:rRNA from 1 species
AUUGAACGCUGGCGGCAUGCCUUACACAUGCAAGUCGAACGGUAACGGGCCUUCGGGUGCCGACGAGUGGCGAACGGGUGAGUAAUGCAUCGGAACGUACCUUUCAGUGGGGGAUAACGUAGCGAAAGUUACGCUAAUACCGCAUAUUCUGUGAGCAGGAAAGCAGGGGAUCGCAAGACCUUGCGCUGAUUGAGCGGCCGAUGUCAGAUUAGCUAGUUGGUGAGGUAAAGGCUCACCAAGGCGACGAUCUGUAGCGGGUCUGAGAGGAUGAUCCGCCACACUGGAACUGAGGCACGGUCCAGACUCCUACGGGAGGCAGCAGUGGGGAAUUGUGGACAAUGGGGGCAACCCUGAUCCAGCCAUGCCGCGUGAGUGAAGAAGGCCUUCGGGUUGUAAAGCUCUUUCGGUCGGGAAGAAAUCGCAUGGGUUAAUACCCUGUGCGGAUGACGGUACCGGCAUAAGAAGCACCGGCUAACUACGUGCCAGCAGCCGCAGUAACAC